UGACCAUUGAUCUAGGGCUCCAGCACCACAGAGUCAAUGGUUAGAAUCGGGCUGAUUUAGCCCAGUGAAGACGUUACGUGCUAGCAAAACGAUUACAGCCACGGCCUUCAGGAGUGACCAUAGACGAAUCCUUUCUCACAGAAGACAAGAGCACCCAGAAUCGCAAGCUUCUUCAGAAACGAAGGACGCUGGAGCUGCCAGCAGCACCCCUUUCGCACUGCCAAGCCCCAGUACUUGGAGGAACUGGAAAACUACCUACGCAAGGAGCUCCUCCUGCUGGACCUGGGCACAGAUUCCACCCAGGAACUAAGGCUGCAGGUGACCAAACUGAGGAAGAACUUGGCUGAGGAGUACCUGCACUACCUCAGUGAGCGAGAUGCCUGUAAGAUCCUCAUCGCAGACCUGAAUGAGCUGCGGUACCAGCGGGAGGACAUGUCAUUAGCCCAGUCGCCAGGUAAGCCUGAAUUGGGAAUCG
rnacentral:lncRNA from 1 species